CGGUACGGGUAGUGGGAGCUAUAGCCCGGAGAUGGGGACUGAGACACGGCCCCAGGCUCUACGGAGCGCAGCAGGCGCGAAAACUUCGCAAUGCCCGAAAGGGUGACGAGGGGAUCCCAAGUGUCAGCGAAAUACGUUGACUUUUCUCAAGUGUAAAUAGCAUGAGGAAUAAGGAGAGGGCAAGGCUGGUGCCAGCCGCCGCGGUAAUACCAGCUCUUCAAAUGGUGGCCGCUUCUAUUGGGCUUAAAGCGUUCGUAGCUGGAUUUAUAAGUCCUUAGCGAAAUUUUAUCGCUCAACUUUAGAACGUGCUGAGGAUACUGUAUAUCUUGAGACCGGGAGAGGCUAGAGGUACUCCUAGGGUAGGGGUGAAAUCCGUUAAUCCUAGGGGGACCACCUGUGGUGAAGACGUCUAGCUGGAACGGGUCUGACAGUGAGGAACGAAACCUAGGGGAGCAAACUGGAUUAGAUACCCAGGUAGUCCUAGGUGUAAACGAUAUGGGCCAGGUGUCACGCGAUCUAAGUGAUCAUGUGGUGCCGAAAGGAAACUGUUAAGCCCAUCGCCUGGGGAGUACGGUCGCAAGGCUGAAACU
rnacentral:rRNA from 1 species